CUGCCUGGGUCAUGGGUUGGGAUGGAGGACGGGGGGGGCGUCAGGAGUGGAGAGGACGUCCCCGCCGGUGGAGAUGGACCAGGGGAGCAUUGGUUUGAAAAGAAGGCAAGAGAAGAGGAUGGAAAGAAGGAAGAAAUGAGAAGAAAGAGGCGGGAAGAAGGAAAGAGUGGAAAAGAAGAGGAGAAGGAAAAGAAGGCAGAAGAACGUAAAGGAGCGGUGAAGGGGACAGUGGUGCGAGAAGGAGUGGAAGAGGGAACGGGGACAGUGACGGAGAAGGAGGGAGGAGUGGAGGUGGGAGGGGGGGAGAGAUGGGGGACAGCCUGCCAGGCUUCCUCAAGGUCGAACACUGCCUGGGUCAUGGGUUGGGAUGGAGGACGGAGGGGCGUCAGGAGAGGAGAGGACGUCCCCGCCGGUGGAGAUGGACCAGGGGAGCAUCGGAAGUGUUCUUCCUAACCAGUCCCUCAACAGCUCUCUGACUGAGCUCCACCCUCACUGGGUCUUCAGAGGAGAGGAAGACUGAGGAUCAGUGGUGAAUUUAGCAUGAGAGAGACUUGACUAUCGUGGAUCUUCUGGGGAGCCUCAACAACAUCAUGAUGCUGACGACGCAGAGAAGAGUCUCUCCAGAUCAGAACACCUCAAGGAACACCAGCGGAAACCCACGGGGAAGAAACCUCACUGCUGCUCUGACUGUGGGAAGAGUUACUCAAGAUCUGAUUCACUAAAAGUACACCAGAGAAUUCACACAGGAGAGAAAUCUUACAACUGUGAUCAAUGUGGAAAGAGAUGCUCUUCUUCAUCAGAACUUACAAUACACCAGAGAAUCCAUACAGGAGAGAAACCUUAUAGCUGCUCUCAGUGUGGAAUGAGUUUUUCUCGAUCAUAUUCAUUGAAAUCACACCUAAGAAUUCACACAGGAGAGAAACCAUAUGGCUGUGAUCAAUGUGGGAAAAGUUUUGCUACCUCAGCUAACCUGACUGCACACAAGAGAAUACACACAGGAGAGAAGCCUUACCACUGCUCUGACUGCGGAAUGAGCUUUAUCACUUCAAGGGAACUACUCCUACACCAGAGAACACACACAGGAGAGCAACCUUAUAGCUGUGAUCAAUGUGGGAAGAGUUUUACUCAGUCAAACAACCUGAUAUCACACCAGAGAACACACACAGGACAGAAGCCUUAUAGCUGUGAUCUGUGUGGGAAAAGCUUUACUCAGUCAGGUCACCUGAAAUCACACCAGAGAACCCACACAGGAGAGAAGCCUUAUAGCUGUGAUCAGUGUGGGAAGAGAUAUUCUGAUUUAAGAGAUCUGAAUAAACAUAAUAACAUACAUCCAGAUUGUGGAAUGACUGCCAACACCAGUCCUGGGUAGUAGAACAUAGAUUGUGGAAUGACUGCCAACACCAGUCCUGGGUAGUAGAACACAGAUUGUGGAAUGAUCUCCAACACCAGACCUGGGUAGUAGAACACUGCAUCGUGAGGUUUUUAUAUAGUACUUGCGCAGAGCAUUCUAUAUUGGACAUUUAGAAAAAAGUGUGUUUGUGUUGGAGGGGUUGUUAUUCACACUCAUUAUCUUUCCUGAUUGAAGUCAACUUUAUUUUAAUCUUUAGUUUUUCCUCACCACAUGGAAUGAAUGUCAGAAUCCUCUCAAAUUACACUCCCUAGUGUCUUUUGGUCACUUCAGGGAUUUGGUGAGAUACCUGGUCACAUAGGAAUGGACGUGUUUCUCAGAACUUCUGAUGACAAAUAUGACUGUCUUGAUGAGUUGGUGAAUUCUGAUAUUCUGGUUGAUUGUGGCUAGUUUCCUGUUUGUCUCUUUGUAUUUAUCAUGCCCCCCCUUCAGUUAAUUUAACCUAGUUUAUGAUCAAAUGAUUGAAGCUACAUGACAGACCCAUUACAGUACAUCCCAUCCAUCCUCCCCAGACUAAGAUAUUUUACCAGACGUUAUAGUAUGCCUGCCAACGGGUCCUGGUCGGAGGACGCUACGUGUUGGUGGUAUGUCCUGGUCGGACGACGCUACAUGUCGAUGGUAUGCCCUGGUUGGAGGACACUGUAUGUUGGUGGUAUGCACUGGUCGGAGGACACUACAUGUUGGUGGUAUGCCCUGGUCGGAGGACACUACGUGUUGGUGGUAUGCCCUGGUCGGAGGACACUACAUGUUGGUGGUAUGCCCUGGUCGGAGGACGCUAUAUGUUGGUGGUAUGCCCUGGUCAGAGUACGCUAUGUGUUGGUGGUAUGCCCUGGUCGGAGGACACUACGUGUUGGUGGUAUGCCCUGGUCGGAGGACGCUACAUGUUGGGGGUAUGCCCUGGUCGGAGGACGCUACAUGUUGGGGGUAUGCCCUGGUCAAGGAUACCGUUCAUACAUAAAUAAAUACAUUUCAUAAAUACAGUUAAAAAAUAAACAGUUAAUAAACAGUUGAUACAGUGCCUUUGGAAAGUAUUCAGACCCCUUGAAUUUUUUUACAUUUUGUUACUUACAGCCUCAUUCUAAAAUGGAUUAAAUGAUGUUGCUUUAGUCAAAUCCUUCUACUCAGCACACAUAGUGGACUGGUGUGUGUAUGUGCUUGUAAUUGGUUUGUAAACUUUAAAUGUUUCAAAUUAUCACUUUGAAUUUGCUUUAAUCAAUGUAUGUUUCCCUCUAUGUACGUUUCAUAUAAUGUUAUAUAAUAUUCAUUAAAUGAAAACAAUGGUUGAAAGUGAAACUUUUUUCCCUGAACAGCAUUACCCACUCCAGUCAGCAGAUGGCGAUGUGCAUUUUUCAGGCGAUGCUGCCUGAGUGUGACGUAUGAUCUAGUGGACGGGACGCUUCUUCAACAGUAACAGCUAAUCGGCCACCUCAGUAGAACCGAGGUAAAGACAGUUUCAGGUUGGAUAUUUGACGGAUAUUCGCCUUUAGUUUUCCUGACUUCCACCAACUGCAGUUAGGGACUGUCAACAUAGUGACAAAUAAAAAUGUUCAAAUUUCAA